GUGGCGGUAGGGUAGCCUAGUGGUUAGAGUGGAGUGGCGGUAGGGUAGCCUAGUGGUUAGAGUGGAGUGGCGGCAGGGUAGCCUAGUGGUUAGAGUGGAGUGGUGGCAGGGUAGCCUAGUGGUUAGAGUGGAGUGGCGGCAGGGUAGCCUAGUGGUUAGAGUGUAGAGGUGGCAGGGUAGCCUAGUGGUUAGAGUGGAGAGGUGGCAGGGUAGCCUAGUGGUUAGAGUGGAGAGGUGGCAGGGUAGCCUAGUGGUUAGAGUGUAGAGGUGGCAGGGUAGCCUAGUGGUUAGAGUGUAGAGGUGGCAGGGUAGCCUAGUGGUUAGAGUGGAGAGGUGGCAGGGUAGCCUAGUGGUUAGAGUGGAGAGGUGGCAGGGUAGCCUAGUGGUUAGAGUGUAGAGGUGGCAGGGUAGCCUAGUGGUUAGAGUGUAGAGGUGGCAGGGUAGCCUAGUGGUUAGAGUGUAGAGGUGGCAGGGUAGCCUAGUGGUUAGAGUGGAGGGGUGGCAGGGUAGCCUAGUGGUUAGAGUGGAGAGGUGGCAGGGUAGCC